GACGAACGCUGGCGGCGUGCUUAACACAUGCAAGUCGAACGGAAAGGCCUGCUUUCCCUUGUGGAUUGCGGGUACUCGAGUGGCGAACGGGUGAGUAACACGUGAGUGAUCUGCCCCCAACUUGGGUAUAAGCCUGGGAAACUGGGUCUAAUUCCCGAUAGGACUGCAGGGUGGUGCCUGUGGUGGAAAACGAUUUUCUAGUGGUUGGGGAUGAGCUCGCGGCCUAUCAGCUUGUUGGUGGGGUAAUGGCCUACCAAGGCGGCGACGGGUAGCCGGCCUGAGAGGGUGGACGGCCACAUUGGGACUGAGAUACGGCCCAGACUCCUACGGGAGGCAGCAGUGGGGAAGAUUGCACAAUGGGCGGAAGCCUGAUGCAGCGACGCCGCGUGGGGGAUGACGGCCUUCGGGUUGUAAACUCCUUUCGACCGCGAGGAAGCCACCUGGUUGGAAGGGUGGUGACGGUAGUGGUAGAAGAAGCCCCGGCUAACUACGUG
rnacentral:rRNA from 1 species